UACGGGGGGGGCAAGCGUUGUUCGGAAUUACUGGGCGUAAAGGGCUCGUAGGUGGCCAACUAAGUCAGACGUGAAAUCCCUCGGCUUAACCGGGGAACUGCGUCUGAUACUGGAUGGCUUGAGUUCGGGAGAGGGAUGCGGAAUUCCAGGUGUAGCGGUGAAAUGCGUAGAUAUUCGCAAGAACACCAGUGGCGAAGGCGGCUCACUGGCCCAUAACUGACGCUGAGGCACGAAAGCGUGGGGAGCAAACAGG
rnacentral:rRNA from 1 species